AGAGAAUCGCUUGAACCUAGGAGGCAGAGAUUGCAGUGAGCUGAGAUCACAUCACUGCACUCCAGCCUAGGCAACAGAG
rnacentral:snRNA from 1 species